rnacentral:lncRNA from 1 species
CUCCGUGGUCAGCGGAAACUUGAUGGUGAGAGCGCCGCGGUCAGGCUGGCUUCUCCUGGGCGCCCUGCCAAGGAUGCUUGUGCUGCCUCUGGGCUCGCGGCGGCCUGGGCCUGGAAGAACCCACUGCUGUGCAUGUGUGGACAGCAGGCCUCAUCCCAGGGAACAGCCCGGCGGCCUGGGAGCCAGCAUUUCUGAGCGCCUUGUGAGCAGAGCAGCCAGGCAGGACCAGAGGUGCGCCGCCCACCUGAGGAAGCAGAGAAGGCAGAAUGGCCUUCACCUUCGCUACUUGGGACCCUUACUGUCUGUCCAGCAGAGUGGCCAGGAAUACACCAAUGGUGAUGAUUUUUCCAGCACUGACAAUCACUGAGGACAUCUGUACAUGCCACCGCUGGUACAGUCUCCUGAGGCUCUGCUUAGGCAAGGGAUGAAGGCCUCGCAAUGACCCAGCA